UACGUAGGCGGAAAAUUAAGUCAGUAGUGAAAUCCUGCAGCUUAACUGUAGAACUGUUAUUGAUACUGGUUUUCUUGAAUAUAGUUGAGGUAGGCGGAAUGUGUAAUGUAGCGGUGAAAUGCUUAGAUAUUACACAGAACACCGAUUGCGAAGGCAGCUUACUAAGCUAUGAUUGACGCUGAGGUACGAAAGCGUGGGGAGCGAACAGGAUUAGAUACCCCUGGUAGUC
rnacentral:rRNA from 1 species